rnacentral:rRNA from 1 species
UCCUAGUACGAGAGGACCGGAGUGGACGCAUCACUGGUGUUCGGGUUGUCAUGCCAAUGGCACUGCCCGGUAGCUAAAUGCGGAAGAGAUAAGUGCUGAAAGCAUCUAAGCACGAAACUUGCCCCGAGAUGAGUUCUCCCUGAGACUUUAGGUCUCCUGAAGGAACGUUGAAGACGACGACGUUGAUAGGCCGGGUGUGUAAGCGCAGCGAUGCGUUGAGCUAACCGGUACUAAUGAACCGUGAGGCUUAACCUUACA